UUUUUAUAAACUUUAGCCUGCCCUUAGCGGCUAGCAUUUACGGCUGGAAAUCCACAUGUUAGAAUUCCGGGUCGGUGCAGUUAAAAGUCAUUCGUUUAUUUAUUUUGUUUUAGAAAUUCUCAUUACUUGUUUUACAGUCUCCUGCUUCGGAAAGCCGCAAUAGCGUCAUUUUAUCAUUCCGGGUCACCUUUUCAACGUGAAAUACGCCUGUUUACAAGCUGACGGGAAAUAUUAGACCCUAUUAGUACACGGCUCUUAAAAUACAUGUCAUAUAUCAGACGGACUCUGGAAUCCAUUUGUGUAUUCUUCUUACCUUACCUUUUUUAUUUACAAAUAUAAAAAAUAUAAUAAAUUUAAGUGGGUAUACGACGUCACUUAUUAGAAUAGCAACACCACACAACGUGAUGUAUGUCAUGUAGGUUGGUCGGUUGUCAGACGUCAAGUGUGAAAAAUAUAAGACGGGUGCCUAUUUUAUUAUGUAGCCGACUGAUGGAAAUAUUAAAUAUAAAGGAGUAUGUCAGUA